AGCGAACGCUGGCGGCAGGCUUAACACAUGCAAGUCGAGCGGGCAUCCUUGUGGUGUCAGCGGCAGACGGGUGAGUAACGCGUGGGAACGUGCCCUUCGGUUCGGAAUAACUCAGGGAAACUUGAGCUAAUACCGGAUACGCCCUUUUGGGGAAAGGUUUGCUGCCGAAGGAUCGGCCCGCGUCUGAUUAGCUAGUUGGUGAGGUUAUGGCUCACCAAGGCGACGAUCAGUAGCUGGUCUGAGAGGAUGAUCAGCCACACUGGGACUGAGACACGGCCCAGACUCCUACGGGAGGCAGCAGUGGGGAAUAUUGGACAAUGGGGGCAACCCUGAUCCAGCCAUGCCGCGUGAGUGAUGACGGCCUUAGGGUUGUAAAGCUCUUUUCUCCGGGACGAUAAUGACGGUACCGGAGGAAUAAGCCCCGGCUAACUUCGUG
rnacentral:rRNA from 1 species